GGAACUAAAUUUUGGAUGUGACAUCUUUCACCCAACUGAUCACCGUGGUUGAUUGGUCCAAAUCUGACUGGCAAGGCAGGUGUCCACAUCCUCCCUUUCACCUCUCCAUGUACAUCCUUCCCUAAGUGACAUGCUCAAUUAAAGAGGAUGGGUUUCCCUGAUAGAGGAGGGCCCAUCUUUGGCAGGGUCAAGGAUGUAUAAGCAGCUGCAUGGUCCUGGUGGAGCCCCCAAACAGACUCUCAAGGAGAUAACCUUUCUCAGCACAGACCUGUGGCCCCAUGAAAAGCACUGCCUUCAAAGGUGGUAUCUUCAGACUGCUCUU
ensembl:misc_RNA 7SK 7SK RNA